AGAAAUGGCAUUCAACAACAAAUCCUUUGCUAAAAUUAGUUCCAAUAGAUUUUAUUAAUUAAUGGUUGGCUGUUUCUAAUGAAAAUGUGAUUAAUUUUCUAUACUUCCACUUGUUUAUUGCAUGGAUUGACUAAAAAUUAAUAAUUUUGAAGGUCUUGCCAUUAAAUUAAUAAUUUAAUAUCUAAAUGUCUAUUCAUCAAAUUGAGAUUCUCUUAAAGUUUGGUGUAUAUAACCUAUCAUGUUAGUAAAAUUUUAUU
rnacentral:misc_RNA from 1 species